rnacentral:rRNA from 1 species
GUGCCAGCCGCCGCGGUAAUACCGGCAGCUCGAGUGAUGACCGAUUUUAUUGGGCCUAAAGCGUCCGUAGCUGGCCAGGCAAGUCCGUUGGGAAAUCCGCCUGCUCAACAGGUGGGCGUCCAGCGGAAACUGCUUGGCUUGGGACCGGAAGAUCCAAGGGGUACGUCCGGGGUAGGAGUGAAAUCCUGUAAUCCUGGACGGACCACCGGUGGCGAAAGCGCCUCAGGAGGACGGAUCCGACAGUGAGGAACGAAAGCUAGGGUCCCGAACCGGAUUAGAUACCCCCGUAGUCC